UGCAAGUGUUAUCCGGAAUCACUGGGCGUAACGCGUCUGUAGGUGGUUUAAUAAGUCAACUGUUAAAUCUUGAGGCUCAACCUCAAAAUCGCAGUCGAAACUAUUAGGCUAGAGUAUAGUAGGGGUAAAGGGAAUUUCCAGUGGAGCGGUGAAAUGCGUAGAGAUUGGAAAGAACACCGAUGGCGAAGGCACUUUACUGGGCUAUUACUAACACUCAGAGACGAAAGCUAGGGUAGCAAAUGGG
rnacentral:rRNA from 1 species